rnacentral:lncRNA from 10 species
ACAGCUUCGGGACGACUGGAUCGCCGCGCCUGGGCCGGAGCGAGCCAUCUGCGGGCACUAUGCAAAGCGGGAGACGGCGCGAGCGGCGCCCGGCUCACACUAGCUCUUCCAGGACGCAGGACAGAAGAGCUCCUUGGCACUGGAUGCCUCCGGGUCUGGUUGAGAGAGGAAUGGUUAGGAGACUGUUCUGAGGAUACGCAGACAUCAUCCAAAGCUUCCUACAUUCAGAUGAGGACAGAGGUUGGGCCAGAGCUUUGUAAGCUUGUUACCUAAGGAUGGUUCUGACCAUGUAAGCAGAUCACAGAAGCUAUUCACAGAUCAUCAUCAGCCAGAGGUGACUUCUGUUGCUUGCAGCUCAGAAUCCUAGAUGUUUCCGGUGGCACUGAAGAGCCUCUGCUGAAGCUCUAUACCAUUUGCCAUUUACAAAGGGAAAUGAAAUAAUAACGCUGACCAUUUGUGGAGCACAUUCUGUCUGGAGGCAAAGGAUGCCAAGAUGGGAAAGCCACAUAAUGGAAGGAUCCUGGAUUUCAGAGCUGUCACUUGGAGGAGGGGCACCCAGUGAAGGUGUCUUAUCUAACCCACACCAUAUCUUCAUGAAGUGGCCAUAUGGAUUUGAUCCCUAUCCUUCAGAGGUGCUCAGCCUAAGGGAACACGGAUAGUAGAUUAAGCACUGACCAGGUGAAAAAGAUUGAUCAUCAGAUGUUUCUUAUGUAUCAACCUGAUAUUUAAAUCCAUGAAGGACAGAGACGACAAAGGCAGGUGGAAUAGAUAGAGAAGAGAUUCAAGGUCUGAGCUCUACAUUACUCAAACUGUUAGAGAUUAGGAAGAAGAGGAAGACCUGGCAAAAGAAUGUCCUGGGAUGUAGAAAGAAAACCAGAAGCUUGUGUUCUCUGGAAACCAAAUGAAGAAAGGGCUUCCAGAAGGACAGACAAAGUGUAGUGUGUCAAAGGCUCCUGAGCAAUCAGAGGAGAGCACAAAGGGGCUCACAGGACUUUGGUAUCUGGAUCACCCAGUGACACUUCCUGAUCACGAGAAACUGUCAGACCAACAGGGGCACUUUCUGAAACCAGCAGUUCUUCAGUGCCCAAAUGCAACCUUGAUGGUUUGAUUUUGGAGGAUGGCAAUUCAUUAACAGCACUCCCCAGUGAUAAAUAUGAAAACCAAUAAAACCCCCCACCCAAGGCAAUCUCUCCCAGCUCCUCGCUUUGAGUAAAGUGAGUAACCUCCAUUUCUGCCAACUCCUGUCUUGUCUGAAGCCACAUUUCCCCAGCAAUGUCACAUAUGCAUUUCUUGAUCCUGGUCAUUUCUCCUCUUGGGAGAUGAAUCAUAAAGAAAAUGAGAUCUGUGUGCCCUGGUGACUAUGGAUGCAAGAGUCUGCUGCCCUGGAGGGAACAGCUGGAAAAGUAGAUGGUGAAGACGUGUGGGGGGGAAACAGUGGAGAAGGCAUCUUUGCAGGGGAUCAAGGUGACAGAGUGAUUAGUUACACUGUUUUGACAUGUGAGAACAGGGGGUUAUAAAAAUGGAUACAGGAAGAGGGAGAGAAAGUAAGGACCAAAACAUGAAGCCAGUCAUGAAUGUUUUUACAUAAAAAGCAGCAGAUUUACGGCAAAUAUGUGAUGUUUCCACAUUUUCUGCCUCUAGUUAGCAGGGGCAGCACAAAGAGCAUUACUGUGGAGCUGAACUUUGGGUAAAAGAUUAACAGCCAGUCCUUUCUCUCCAGUGUCUGCUUCCUUCUGGGCUUGCCCUGGGGGAAAAGGAGGGCUGGCAUGGAUAUGCCUGCAGCCCUCACCCUAGAUGUUCUUCCACGCCUCUCUGUUCAUUCAUUGCUUAGUCAUUCCUCAGGCAUGGAUUGAGACCACUGUGUGCCCAGGACCGACCUGGCCUAGGAUGGACAUAGAGAUGGAAAAGGCACAGGGAGCAGGUGACAGAGACAAAUCAAGGUCAUGGAGAAUAGCAGAGUAAGAUAGAAGAUGAAGGCAGGAGAUGGGGUUCUUGAGAAAGCGAGAGCAGGACUGACCCGUGUCUGCCUCACCUGUUAUUGCUGUAGCCUCUUCUCCUUGGAGUAUCCCUCCUGCUCUUGCAUCACCUUAGGAACUUGGAUCAGAGAGGAAAGUUACGGCCUGGAUAUGUUGUAGUAGGAGGGGACAAACAUGUUUGGAGACAGAAAUGCUUGGGGAGCGGGUGUUUUUGGGGGAUGAGACUUUCCAGGUCUCUCAAUUCACACUAUGUAGGUAGUUCACUGCACAGCUUAAAUAAGAGACAACUCUCCGGAGUGGUUGGCUCUCAUCCAAAAAAUGUGUUUUGGGCCUCAGAUUUCCAACGGAAGGGCUGAAGCGUGACUGGCCUGAUGUCAACUACUGAAGUCCACCUGCCCCUGCCCUAUCAGGUGUGGAAAUGCUGGGGUUCCUCUCUCAGAACCUACUUCCUGAGAUGUCGAAAUAUACCCAAGAGUAUUUCUGGGCCUUCUCCAAUCCGAAACUGUUUAGUUUUUGUGUGUGUGUGCCUACUUGGCCACACUAGAAGACAGAGGUGGCCUGGGUGAAAUGCAGGUUUCUAGAGGCUCUCUGACAAAGCUCAGGCCACCAGCCCCAGGCCAGCCUGUGGGUAGUCCUGGCUGACAGUCACUUCAUACCUCACCUGGGCUUUUUGCCAAAUUCAAAGUGUGUGUAUAUGUGGAGUGCUGGGUUCCCACCACUGACAGUCUGUAAGUCAUUCACUUAGCUCAAUUUGUCUUACUUUCUUCUGAAAUUUCUUCCUUCUUGUUCUUUUUCCCAGGAGAAACCAGGAGAAGGCAGUCCUAGGGCAGUCUCCGGGCCAGCUUUCCCUAAUAAGAAGGCAGAGCUCCUCUUCACCCAGACUUCAGACCUAUAGAGGCAGCCUGGGGUCCCGGGAUGCCCUUGCACUCAGAGAUGUCCCCAGAGUCCUAGGGAAAUGGAGGAUAACUAGGAGGAAGCUGUUCAUGGCUGGCGAUGAGGUCUAUACCUUCUUGUCCGUCUCAGUGCUGUCUGCUAUUGAAUUUUUGUGCAGAUCACAUUAACUUAAAGCCAGUUCUCAAGAAGCUCCCCCUGCCGCCGGCAUAUCCACCAGUUGCUCCCCUUUCCUGCCAUUAAUCAGGGUCUGCUAGUUAGAGAACAAAUUCCUAUUUGUCCAAACAGUUGCCAACACCCCCACCCCAAGGUAGUUAAAUGAGGAUGAAUGGGUCAUUCUUAUUAAAAAAUGACUUAAAUUUCUCAAAUUCUAUUUAUGUUUCUUUUACAUCCCAAUUUUCUAUAGAUUUAGUGACUCCAAAUGAUAAGGUCUCAAGCUCAUAAUAAUUUAUCCCUUGGGUAACACACAAGGCUUGGUGGUAUUUCAGUAAUAUUCAUGACAACAGCAGCUGUCGUGCUAAUAAGGACUGAUGUCACCAGAGCACUUUCUAUGUGCCAAGCAUGGUGCACAACACUUUACAUACAUUAUGUCAUUUAAUUUUCACAAAACCUCACAGAGGUAAAUAUUAUUAUCUUCCUCUGCAUAUAAGGAAAUGAAUGUUCGGAAAGAUUAAGUCAACUCACUGAGGUCCCAUCAGUGCUCUUUCAUAUGCCUCUGUUGCAGUCUCAUUGAACUGCUGAAAUCAGAAAAACCUGGAGACCUUGUUAACCUUCAGAUUCCUGGGCCCCAUCUUAGAUGCAGGGAGUCAGACUUCCUGGGAGUGUGGCCCUGGAAUUUUCAUUUGUAAACACAUUCCCCAAGAGACCUGUAUGCACACUAAAGUGGGAGAAUUCACGAUCUCUGGCUUUUGUGAUGUUUUAAACGCACUAUAUAAUUUCAGUAGCAAAAGAAUUGGGCUUUGGGAAGGGAGUGUGUGGUGAACCCUGAAAGCUGAAUGGACUUCCUUCCUGUGGAGGAGCAGUGGGAGAAACUGGAGGCAGAGAGCUGUGUUUCAUUCCUUGAUUGAGCCUUUGUGAGUUAUUUAAUCUCUUUCAGUCUCUAUUUUUUUCAUUUGUAAACCAGGAAGGAUACUUGUAUUUUCCAGGUGGUUGUGAGGUGUGAAAGAGAUGAGAGUAGAACAAAAUUUUAAAAGUUGAAAGCACUCAACAAAUGUAUUUGGUAUUAAUCAUGGGUUUCCCUGGGGCCGAGGAAGCCACCAGCCACCGCAGGCCUGUACACAAUGCCAGCCACCAUGUAUGGAUACGGAGGAGGCAAAAGGACUAGCGAACACUCCCAGGGACUGGAUGUCUUGAAUAUCUGUCCAACUUUCUUGGGAGGGGCCAUUUCUUCUGUAACUCAAAGGAAUUUAUUAUUUUUCAGCCAGGGAGGCAUGCUUUCUAUCUACUGCUAGUACUCCCAGACCAAGCUGUUUCAGUGGGACUGAGGUGUGACUUCUGCCUCGGUUUCAUCCAUCUGUGCAGGGAAGAGAAAAAUGCCUGCACCUCCACGGUCACACCCUCUGUUGGAACCACCUCCUUAAGCCAGAAUUAUUGAAUGUUCUCUAUGUGCCAGAAUUAUUAUUAUCUCAUUUGAUUCUCACAACAAUGCCAUGAAGUCUAUACAGACAUACCUUGGAAAUACAGCGGGUUUGGUUCCAGACCACCGCAAUAAAGCUAAUACCGCAAUAAAAUGGGUCACACGAAUUUUUUGGAUUAGGCUUCGGCUUAAGGGAAUGUUGUGGCUGGUUUGAUGUUUUAUCCAGACCGCUAACACUUUCUCCCUAUCAGCAAUGAGGCUGUUUUGCUUUCUUAUCAUUCCUGUGUUCACUGGAGUAGCACUUUUAAUUUCCUUCAAGAACUUUUCCUUUGCAUUCAUAACUUGGCUAACUGUUUGGCACAAGAGGCCUGCCUAGCUUUUGGCCUAUCUAAGCUUUUGACUUGCCUUCCUCACUGAGCUUAAUCAUCUCUAGCCUUGGAUUUAACGUGGAAAAUGUGUGACCCUUCCUUUCACUUGAACACUUGGAAGCUAUUGUAGGGUUAUUAACUGGCCUAAUUCAAUAUUAUUGUGUCUCAGGGAACAGGGAGGCCCAGAGAGAGAGAGACGGGAAAACAGAAAGUCAGUGGGGCAGGCAGAACACACACGUUUAUUUAUUAAGUUUGCUGUCAUAUGUUGGUGCAGUUCAUGCUGCCCCAAAACAAUUACAAUAACAAGAUCAAAGAUUCCUGGUCAUAGAUUGCCAUAACAGAUACAGUAAUCACGAAAAAGUUUGAGAUAUUGUGAGAAUUACGCAGAUAUUGUGAGAAAUAUGACCCAGAGACAAGAAGCGAGCACAUGCCGUUAGAAAAAUGGCACCAACAGACUUGCUUGCUGCAGGGUUACACAUACCUUCAAUUUGUAAAAAAAAAAAACUGUAAUAUCUGCAAAACGCAAUAAAGAAAAGUGUAAUAAAAUGCAGUCUGCCUGAACUUCAAUUAUUCCCAUUUUAUAGAAGAGGAAAUAGAUGCAGGGAGUUUGAUCUGCCUGAACUAGUAAAUGGUAGAACUCUGGGACUAACAUUCCUAUCCUCUAUGCUACAUUCCUAGGAAAGAACGCUCAGACAGGGUUGGACUGAGAGUGUGUUAAGCUUUGCACUGUUUUGAGCCCUCUGAAGGAGUGUCCGUAUUUGAAAGCUGGCCUCCUUCCUUUCACUGGCCCUCCACAGUGUGGCCUAAGUUAUUCAAUUAGGAAGGGAAAUAAUUGGCAGUGGAGAAUGCCUCUAGCAGUGGUAAUUACCUCCAGUGCCUUGUAGGAAUAGUCAAGCUACAUUUCAGUUUAUGCUGUAAAACCUUAAUUAUAAUAUAAACAGCUGCCCUUCAGCCCAGUGGGGCAGCCUUCCCCCGCCUUCCUUCUCUGGCCUCUGAAUGGCCCUGCCUCCUGAAUGGUCAGGGAGGUCCAGGGACGGAAGGAGACCUGGGAGGAGGGGAGCCGAUGACUAUGCGUGCGUUGGGGUUUGGAAGACUAAGCUGGAGGGAGCCACUGCCAGGGUCCCAUCUUCAAGUGAUGAAGCCAAAGGCAGCAUCCCCAUUCUUGGUACCACUCACACUGAGUCUCUUGGGGGAGCAGCCUCCAGCCAUUAGCAGUCAGCCCAGUGCCAUUAGGCUAGGAUAGGGUUUAGCAGGCUAUGGUAUCAUUUCAGGGUAACAUCUCUUUCUAUUUACUCCCCUAUAAGGGAGAACAGAGUCUUCCCUUCUAGAUCCAGACUUCCUGGCCAUGUAGGAGCCCUGUUGAGUGCCUGGUGCACUCUAGGUAGUAUGCGAGGCAUGGUUGCAAGGGUUCCCCAUUUCAACUUCACAGCACUUGGAUACACAGAAAAUUAACAUCCUCAUUUGACUAUUGAGGAAAAUGAGACUUUGAAAGUUUAAACGGAGAUAAGGCUUGGGAGGCAGACAGCCCUGUAAGUGACUUAAGUUCAGGAAGGAGAAGGACACUCAAUAUUUUUGUUCAGAGCACUGGGAAGGAGAGAGAGGGAUCAGUCACCAUCGGGCAUUUGAGAAGGUCCAGGAACAGGGGGCUGGUGAGCAGAGGGGGGAAUAACACCAGAGGGGCUGAAAUUGCUGAUUGCUGGGUUCACAGAUCUACCCACGAGCGGCCCAGGUACCCCAUGAGCGGCUGCUCUGUGUCAUCUGACCACUGGAUUGUAACCUGGGCUGAAAGAAUCAGAAGUCAGUGUGGCGAGGCAGGAGUCCUCAGAUGGUCAGAGCUGACUCUUCAACUCUUAAGGGCAAAAUGGAAAAUGUGAGCUUGUUGGUGGUCUUCGAAACACAGUAAGCAAUCCAUGCCCCUGAAGAGCAGGGAUAAUUAUAGGCAUGCCCUUGUUUUAUUGUGCUUUGCAGAUAUUGCAUGUUUUUACAAAUUGAAGAUUUAUGGCAACUCUGCAUACAGCAAAUCUAUUGAUGCCAUCUUUUUCCAAUAUCACAUGCUCACUCUGUGUCUCUGUCUCACAUUUUGGUAGUUCUCCCAAUAUUUCACACCUUAUUAUUAUUAUUAUAUCUGUUAUGAUGAUCUGUGGUCAGGGAUCUUUGAGGUUACUAUUGUAGUUGUUUUGAGGUGCCAUGAACUGCACCCAUGUAAGACAGCGAACAUAAUCAAUAAAUGUUGUGUGUUCUGACUGCUCCACCAACCGACUGUUUCCCUGUCUCUUUCUCUCUCCUCUGGCUCCCUAUUCCCUGAGGCACAAUCAUAUUGAAAUUAGGCCAAAUAAUAACCCUACAAUGGCUUCUAAAGGUUCAAGUAAAAGGAAGAGUCACAUCUCUUACUCUAAAUCAAAAGCUAGAAAUGAUUAAGCUUAGUGAGGAAGGCAUGUGGAAAGCUGAGA